rnacentral:rRNA from 1 species
CUACGGGAGGCAGCAGUGGGGAAUAUUGGACAAUGGGCGAAAGCCUGAUCCAGCAAUGCCGCGUGAGUGAUGAAGGCCCUAGGGUUGUAAAGCUCUUUUACCAGGGAUGAUAAUGACAGUACCUGGAGAAUAAGCUCCGGCUAACUCCGUGCCAGCAGCCGCGGUAAUACGGAGGGAGCUAGCGUUGUUCGGAAUUACUGGGCGUAAAGCGCGCGUAGGCGGCCUAUCAAGUCAGGGGUGAAAGCCCGGGGCUCAACCCCGGAACUGCCUUUGAAACUAGUAGGCUAGAAUCUUGGAGAGGCGAGUGGAAUUCCGAGUGUAGAGGUGAAAUUCGUAGAUAUUCGGAAGAACACCAGUGGCGAAGGCGACUCGCUGGACAAGUAUUGACGCUGAGGUGCGAAAGCGUGGGGAGCAAACAGGAUUAGAAACCCUAGUAGUCC